GUGCCCUUGACCAGAAUAGAACCCAGGACCCUUCAGUCUGCAGGCUGAUACAUCAAUGAUGAGAAAGAAUCAUUGGUUGGCUGCCUCUUGCACAUCCCACACUGGGGAUGGAGCCCACAACUGGGCAUAUGCUGUAUAUUUUUUGAUGUCUUAUUCUGUACCCAAAUAAGAAAUGUCUAUUUGUUAAAAUCUUCAUUUGUGCCUUUUUAAGAAUGUUUUAAAAGUUUUUCUCAGAUGGGUUUUACAUAGUUGUUGUUAAAUAUUUUAUUUUCUUUGUGAAACUUGCUUUUAUCACUUAUUAUAUAAUGGAGAUCUGGCCUGUACAUGCAGGUCAGUACAUGCAAACCUAUUUAAUUCUUAAAAUGGAUCCAUGGUCAACCAAUGAACUUGUAUGCAUAUAUGUAUAACCUGUGGACACAGACAACGGGGUGGUGAGGGCCUGAGGGGGCGGGAGGACAGGAGCAGGCUGUAAGAGGCUUAUGGGGAGAAAGGAGGACCUAUGUAAUACUUUCAACAAUAAAGAUUAAAAAAAAUAAAAAUAAAAUGUAUUCAUGAUAAUCCUUGUGCCCUAAUUUAAUUUUUCUCUGCAGAUGUAUUUCAUGUUGCUUCCGAUUUAUCCCUGUUAUGCCCAGUACUGAGGAAAAUACCCUUGUACCUAUAUUCUUGCUUGUGUUACUGUAUCUGUAAAAUAGAUGCCUGGAAAUGGAAUUGCUUAGUCAUAGACCAUGUAUAUAUGUCUUUGGUGACAUAUUCUACCAAGUUAUCCUCUCAAAACUAUUUGACGCUUUUAAAAUCAAGUAAACUUUAUUGUAUAUGUUCGUUGUUAAAAGACAUUCAAAAUUUUGUUUGAAAGAAGCCUCAUGAAAGUUAAUUCUAAACAAAAAGUGUGUAUCUAUUUGUCCAUUCAUAUGGGGAAUCUAAAGAGAGCAAAAGCAUGAUUUACACCUUACCUAACUUAAAUACAGUUUUGGAAAUCAGAUAUAUAUUUACUUAUAUGUAUUCAACAACAGAAAAACUUCACUGGUCAGUAGACUUUGAAUUUAGACUAAAAGUAUUGAGUGUAGUUUAGGGGAGAGAGUCAAGAAGGACACUUCCUGGGGGAUUGGCGUGGGCUGACGUCGAGGCAGAGUUUCACCGUGUCAUGUGGGCCCUCAGACUGAAGCAGUGUGCCUGUACUCAGAGAUAAAGUACGGACAGUUGGUGGCAGACCUGGAGCUCCGUAAAGGUGUGGAUUUGGUCCCCUCGGCGGCAGAGGGCUCUUCUGAUUUAGUACUCUAUUGCCGGGUAGCAAUUGACCCCCCACAUUCAGUGCUCAGAACACCCAAACACAUGUAUGAUCUCUUAGCAGUUUCUAUGGGGCAGGGACUUGGGCGCAGGCAGCACUGUUGCCACCUUCUGUUCCUUAGAAGCAAGCCAGUGCGUCCAGCCCACAUUCAAGGGGAGGGCACCGGGUUCCUCCUUUCAAGGAGGGGGUGUCGGGGUCUGGGAACACAUUUUAAAACUACCACACUGGGUUCUUAAGGAGAGGCUCGAUGGUACGAUUUUGAAAAGGAAAAAAGCAUGGUGUCCAGCAGAAGAUUAAUGUGGUAGCAGUGUCAAAGAUGACCUGAAGAAAGGGGGACGUGGGAGGGAGGGCUGGUGAGGCAAUCCCCAGUGAGGUAGUGAUGGAGUCGUCCAGGGAGAUGCGAGAGGGACAAGGCAGGGCACAGGAGGGGUGCAGCGGAAUGAGAGAGAGGGAACGAGAGGCGGAAAUCGUCUCAAGGUUUCCAGGUCUGAAGAACGAACGAUCAGGCAUGUAAUAACUGGAAAGAGAAACCAGUUUUUGGUUUUAGACAUUUAAGGGGGGAAAUUCCCAAGCAGUUGAAACUAUAGAACCAAGGGCUCCAGUUGAAAUGUCGAGCCAAAGAGAGAAAGUUCACAUUUGUCAUCCAAAAAUUUUUGUGGGAUGAGUCCGCAGAGAGGCCGGAGCACGGAGGCCCCGGCCUUUGGGGGAAGCCGUGGUCUGGAGCAUGAUGAGCAGGAGCUAGAUCUGUGUUCCUGGCAGGAAGGAGGAGGUGGACCGAUGCCGAGCGUCACGUGUUACAGAAUCUGAAGAGAAUGAUGUUUGAAAUGCAUGCAUUUGCCUGUCAGAUUAUUAGAGCACCACCGAGCCUCCCUGGAAUGGCACUGCUACUCCGUUCUCAGCUGGAGGGAAGAAGUAGGAUUUUGCCUCUUGUUUUCAGGGAGUCAUUUAACAGCAUUUAUUAAUGCUCUUCAGAGUCGGAAGAGGCAGGCCAUCUUACCAUCUGGAGUGUCUGCGCCUGGCUGACCUAAGCUUAACCUGCCAGUUUACGGGAGAUGAUAGACAACACCCAGAACGGCUGAACGGAUUCCUGCAGCAGGGCUCCAUCCCACCUGCCACUGAGCCUCCUCUGUCCCCUGGCAACCACCCGAUGACCUCCUGGUUUUUCUUCCGUCGCACUGCCUGAGUCAUCUUUGCUGGUUUCACCUCUGUCAAACUGACUUUCGUCAAAAGG